rnacentral:rRNA from 1 species
CUACGUGCCAGCAGCCGCGGUAAUACGGAAGGUCCAGGCGUUAUCUGGAUUUAUUGGGUUUAAAGGGAGCGUAGGCUGGAGAUUAAGUGUGUUGUGAAAUGUAGACGCUCAACGUCUGAAUUGCAGCGCAUACUGGUUUCCUUGAGUACGCACAACGUUGGCGGAAUUCGUCGUGUAGCGGUGAAAUGCUUAGAUAUGACGAAGAACUCCGAUCGCGAAGGCAGCUGACGGGAGCGCAACUGACGCUUAAGCUCGAAGGUGCGGGUAUCAAACAGGAUUAGAUACCCUGGUAGUCCGCACAGUAAACGAUGGAUGCCCGCUGUUGGUACCUGGUAUCAGCGGCUAAGCGAAAGCAUUAAGCAUCCCACCUGGGGAGUACGCCGGCAACUGGUGAAACUCAAAGGAAUUGACGGGGGCCCGCACAAGCGGAGGAACAUGUGGUUUAAUUCGAUGAUACGCGAGGAACCUUACCCGGGCUUGAA